ACGCUGGCGGCGUGCUUUAACACAUGCAAGUCGAGCGAUGAAGUUUCUUCGGAAAUGGAUUAGCGGCGAAACGGGUUGAGGAACACGUGAAGAAUCUGCCCUCCACUUUGGGAUAACACCGGGAAACCGGUGCUAAUACCGAAUAUUGAAACAUAAGUGGCAUCACUGAGUUUUGAAAGAAUUUCGGUGGAGGAUGACUUCGCGGCCUAUCAGCUAGUUGGUGAGGUAAUGGCUCACCAAGGCAACGACGGGUAGCCGGCCUGAGAGGGCGACCGGCCACACUGGGACUGAGACACGGCCCAGACUCCUACGGGAGGCAGCAGUGGGGAAUAUUGCACAAUGGGGGAAACCCUGAUGCAGCGACGCCGCGUGGAGGAAGAAGGUCUUCGGAUUGUAAACUCCUGUUGUUGAGGAAGAUAAUGACGGUACUCAACAAGGAAGUGACGGCUAACUACGUG
rnacentral:rRNA from 1 species